UGGCUCCGAUACAUAGCCCACAAGCUCUAAUACUCUGCCACUAUCAGCUGGAAGAACUAUAAAAGAGGUCAAAUCACAGACAGAGAACUUGGUGAUGCUGUUUGGAAAAAUUUAUUUCAGGGAAAGUUGACAUACAUGCAUUGGAAUAAAGGAGCAGAGAUGGCCCCUAGUAUAGGGGACCAAGGGGGAACUCUCCUUGUCAGGAAGUUACCAGCUGCAGACCCAAGGUAGUUACCAUUUUAGAUACAUCUUUCCAGGUUAAAUCUCCUUUCUGUGAGUUUUUGAGAUUGAGUGUAAAUGUCAUUCCUUGGAAGUUACUCUAUGGAUCAGUUUGGGGAGCAUUUUCAUAUAAUGAUAUAAGAUGUCUUAUCGUGCAUUUAAAAGAAUGAAACUUUAAUUCUUGAUCCACAAUCAGUUUCUUAUGAGGCACUUUCAAAUGGUUGUGGGUUUAGUAUGAGAACCUGUCAUUUCAUAAAUACCUUCAGAAACUUAAAGAUAACAUCUCAAAUUCUCAAUUCUAAGUCACCUAUGAUGACUAAUAUGGAUUACUUAAUCAUGUAGUGAGUUUUUAUCAAGCUACUGGAAUCUACAAUUCAUACAAUUUAUUCCCAUAGUUUGUAGUAAGAUGUAGCUCUCUUGACUUAAAAGUGGUAUAGUACUAUUUAAUUGAGAUGGAGCUGUCUGGUUUGGGGGUUCUGUUUCUAUUUCAGUACCAGGUUAAAACAUUUCAGUAAGUAGCCAACUAACCAAAGGAACCAUAACACAAACUUUAAUUGUCUUGCAAAGCUUUCAUGAUGUACCAGGUUAAAUGCUUAUCCAUUUUGAAUUGUCUGAACUCUGAAGUUACUGUAUUCCUCAGUAUUUACUAGUAAAAAAGUCUUCUUGCAUCAAGUAUCAAGUAGUGGUGUGUUUCAGGAAAAAACAAAGCGCAAAAAGUAAUUUUAGAAAUGCAACGUUUAGCUUUGUCUGUGUUACAGCAGCUUAUGUCUCCUAAUCUCAGUGGUUUGUAUUUUCUUCCUUUUUUUCAUUCUUGUAGGAGGCUUUAUCUCUAUGCAAUCCAAAGGUUAUUAAGGUGAGUGAGUUACUUUAUUGAAGACAUUGUAUUACUAUGACGUACAUGUGGCCCUGUAACUUUGACAGUUAAACCAUAUCAAUCUUCCUUUCAUUUUCUUAGAUUGGUUUCAAUAUGAGUGUACAACAAUAGUCAAUAGCCAAUCUGAUGUUGCAACUGACAUUGCAAAUUCUCUUGCUCCAGUGCUUGAUAAUCAAAAUUGUCAAGUCGGAGGUCCUUCAACGUCUAGUAAUGCAUCAGAGUGUGAUGCAGAAAUGGAAAGCGAACUUGCUGAAGAAAAUGCAUUAGAGUGUGAUGCAGAAAUGGAAAGCGAAUUUGCUGCAGAACUAGCACAAGGAGAUGCUUUCACUGACUAUGACAUUGAAGUUACUAGAGAAGGGGUUGGGGAAUAAAUUCUUGUCAAAUAUUCGCGAGGUGGACUCCAUACUUCAGGUUUCUAUCCUUUACUUAUUGGUGCCAUUUAUUUGUAAUUACCAUCUUUUCCUUGUUCUGAAAAUCUUUUUUUUUUGGUUGGUAAUGGAGCCAUUAUAUAGCUUAAGAAAUGUAUAUGUGUGAGUGUGGUGGACAGAGAGGAUACAUUAGUUGUUCUUGAAAGGAUAUGUUAUUUUGUGCCAAUAUAGUUUCUUCUCAAACUCAUAGCAAAGGACAAUAGAAUGAUUCUGAAGAAUCUGAACUUCAAUAGUGCUUUGUUUAUUCAUAUGUAGAAAGCCUCCCCUUACUUGACAAGACCCUUGUUGUUUCUUACACAGAGAACUCGUAAGAUGGCUAUUGCACUUAGAGUAGAAUAUUACAUUCAAGUACAUUUAUUGUAAUUUGGUUGCUCGAAUUAUGGUUUAGGCGACUAAAUUGUUAAGAGCCUAUCAACUUGUUGUGGUUGCUUUUGUUGAUUUUUCUAGUCACCUAUUGGCGCUGCAUAUAUAAUGUACACUGAACGGUUUUAUGCUUUAUAUGUAGUUGAUAGCUGCAAAUAUAUGUACUCUGAACUAUAUUUCCCCUCCUGAAAUUGUGCUUGUUGGCCACAGGUUCUUCUCUUUUUAUAUUUUAAUUGUUGUUGAAGUUCUCAUAGCAAAUCAUGUUUGAUUGAGAAUGUAGGGAAAAAUCAAUAAUUUCCCAACACUUAAAAGGGGUAUAACAGAUGCUCAGCGAUCAAAGUUCGAUUAUUGCACACCAUGUGUUUGACACCCAAGCUGAACUGCUAAACCAGUAGGGCAUUUCAUGAUUUUCGAAAAAUCUAUACUUCUUGUUUUACUCUCAGUUUUUGAUAUCUUAAAGGGGACUCUUCAAUGAUCAUUUUGAACUUGGUUUCGUGAAAAACGGAGUUAAAAUGCGAUACUUAUUCUAUUUUGAAGUUAUUGCACUGUUUCAGGAUUUCUGCAGAAUUCAGCAAUUCUGUCACUUUAGAUUCUUGUUUGACCAUCCAUUUGAACUGGGAAUAGCAUGAAACUUUGCGAAAUAGUAGCUUUGCAUAUCUACUUGAAAUCUGGAAAGUUGUGCUUGAAAUCACUAAAAUAAUAGUUGUUGGUGAAUUUUUCUUUCUUGUUACUAGUUUUCAGAAACUGUCUCAAGCUUGCAGCUUAUUGUUACUCUUAGAAUUCUUAUGAGUGUGUUUGUGGAAUAAAUUUAAAUCUGUUACUAUUUCAAACAUAUAUAGGCAACAGCUAUAAAUCUUGUGGGGUGAAGAUGCAUUCAAAGAUGGGCAUACAAUCAGCUUCUACAUGGAGCCUGAAGUGUUUGGAUAUUCUCGCAAGACAUUUAUAUUGGGAAAAGAUGUUAGGCGACUUGCAAGCAUAAGGGAAGUAACUGGAACUUGUGCUUCUCUGCUGGUACAUUGUCAUGCACCAUGUGUGGCAUGUUUUGGAACAAUAUAUAUGUGUAUCAGUUUUUUUAUGUCCCAAGUAGAUGGGCAUGCAC